rnacentral:lncRNA from 1 species
UAUUAUCUCUUUUUCCAUCAAGAAAAAAAGGAAGAAAAGAUUGAUGGACUGUAUACAAAAUUAAGUCUCGAACCAUUCAUUACGUACUCGAAGAAGAAAAAGGGUUUCAAUUAUCAGAAUACUUUUAAGAGGAUGAGAUAGUAGGAGUUCAUCAAUCCUUAAAUGAUGUGGAAUUAGAUACUCCAAGAAUUCUCCUACGUGAAGAUGGCCAAC